AAGGCUCACCAAGCCAACGAUCUGUAGCUGGUCUGAGAGGACGACCAGCCACACUGGGACUGAGACACGGCCCAGACUCCUACGGGAGGCAGCAGUGGGGAAUUUUGGACAAUGGGCGCAAGCCUGAUCCAGCCAUGCCGCGUGCAGGAUGAAGGCCUUCGGGUUGUAAACUGCUUUUGUACGGAACGAAACGGCUCUUUCUAAUAAAGAGGGCUAAGACGGUACCGUA
rnacentral:rRNA from 1 species